CGCGUCUGAUUAGGUAGUUGGUGGGGUAACGGCCCACCAAGCCGACGAUCAGUAGCCGAUCUGAGAGGGUGACCGGCCACAUUGGGACUGAGACACGGCCCAAACUCCUACGGGAGGCAGCAGUGGGGAAUAUUGCACAAUGGGGGAAACCCUGAUGCAGCGACGCCGCGUGAGUGAAGAAGUAUUUCGGUAUGUAAAGCUCUAUCAGCAGGGAAGAAGAAGGACGGUACCUGAGUAAGAAGCCCCGGCUAACUACGUGCCAGCAGCCGCGGUAAUACGUAGGGGGCAAGCGUUAUCCGGAUUUACUGGGUGUAAAGGGAGCGUAGACGGCGAAGAAAGUCUGAAGUGAAAGCCCGCGGCUCAACCGCGGAAUGGCUUUGGAAACUUUUUUGCUGGAGUACCGGAGAGGUAAGCGGAAUUCCUAGUGUAGCGGUGAAAUGCGUAGAUAUUAGGAGGAACACCAGUGGCGAAGGCGGCUUACUGGACGGUAACUGACGUUGAGGCUCGAAAGCGUGGGGAGCAAAACAGGAUUAGAUACCCUGGUAGUCCACGUGGUAAACGAUGAAUGCUAGGUGUUGGUGGACAA
rnacentral:rRNA from 1 species